rnacentral:lncRNA from 1 species
AUAGGAGAGUGAUACGAGUUGGAUUUGGGUUGCCCUGAAAUUGCAGGACUCUUUCCCUUGAGCUCUCGAAGCUCCUUGGAUAUCCUUGAUUCGAACCGAUGAUGCGUACUUAAGUUUGUCUUCCUCAAAUGUGGGUUAGACUUGCUUGUCGUACAUCGUAUGGUGGUCCGGCUCCUUGAAGCCUCUAGGUUGGUUAUCCUUUUGUCCAACUUCAACAUAAGAGCAUGCAUGUGCGCAAGCCUUUCCUGUGUUGUCGGAGUUGGGUUCACACCCCCAUUUAGUGGGAGUGGUGAGGACACCUCAUGUGUAGGUGAUGGUGCAUUAGAGGUUGGUACAGUACGAGGACCAACCCCUCUGCCAGAAGCUCCUACCUCAGUAGCAGUGGCGA